UACGUAGGGGGCGAGCGUUGUCCGGAAUUAUUGGGCGUAAAGCGCGUGUAGGCGGCUUGGUAAGUCUGGUGUGAAAACUUGGGGCUCAACUCCAAGCGUGCAUCAGAAACUGCCUCGCUUGAGUCCGGGAGGGGAGGGCGGAAUUCCUAGUGUAGCGGUGAAAUGCGCAGAUAUUAGGAAGAACACCGGUGGCGAAGGCGGCCCUCUGGAACGGUACUGACGCUAAGACGCGAAAGCGUGGGGAGCAAACAGGAUUAGAUACCCUGGUAGUCCACGCCGUAAACGAUGGGCACUAGAUGUGGGCGGUGUCGACUCCGUCCGUGUCGUAGCUAACGCAUUAAGUGCCCCGCCUGGGGAGUACGGCCGCAAGGCUA
rnacentral:rRNA from 1 species